rnacentral:sRNA from 1 species
AUGGAGGAUAACAGGACAACGAACUGGGUUGAAACUGGAGGCUUGUUCUCUUUAGUAGUUUUCUGGGCUUCUAGCCUAGGGAAAUUGUGGAUCAGAACCAGCCAAAUGGACUUAUAAGGGAAAUUUGUCCCUGAAAAUCUGCUUACCUCCUCUUGUCUGUGGGUAUAGAAAAGUAAGAUUUAACUGUGGUGCCCAGUGUUGCAUUUUUACUUCUCUGUUUAGCAUGUUGGAAGUGUCUUGGGUAUUCCAGAAGCUCAGGAAGGCUGCUGGCAUGACUCUGGUGACUCCAGAAGUAUUGAGGACCUUUCUAAGGGUUGGGGCCCCUGCCUCUUCUCUGUGUACUGUAGCUUCUGAGUGUAGACUUUGAUGGGCCUGAUGCUGGGUAACUAUGUGCAGCCUCCAACUUGGUCCCUUACCUAAGAUCUUUCUCCUGGCCUGCCCUCCAUGUCGGGGAGCUAUCGUCGUCUUCAAGCUACAGAUGCACAUGUUGAAUGGAGCUCUUCUGGCAUUGCUGUUUCCUGUGGUAAACACUCGGCUGCUCCCCUUUGAAUUGGAGAUUUACUACAUUCAGCAUGUUAUGCUCUACGUGGUACCCAUCUACCUGCUUUGGAAAGGAGGUGCUUACACUCCAGAGCCCCUCAGCAGUUUCCGGUGGGCUCUUCUCUCAACUGGCCUCAUGUUCUUUUAUCACUUCAGCGUCUUGCAGAUC